rnacentral:rRNA from 1 species
GGCUUAACACAUGCAAGUCGAGGGGUAACAGGGAGUGCUUGCACUCUGCUGACGACCGGCGCACGGGUGCGUAACGCGUAUGCAAUCUACCUCUUACUGAGGGAUAGCCCAUGGAAACGUGGAUUAAUACCUCAUAGUAUUAUAGACUGGCCUCAGUUUAUGAUUAAAGGUUACGGUAAGAGAUGAGCAUGCGUCCUAUUAGCUAGAUGGUAAGGUAACGGCUUACCAUGGCUACGAUAGGUAGGGGUCCUGAGAGGGAGAUCCCCCACACUGGUACUGAGACACGGACCAGACUCCUACGGGAGGCAGCAG